rnacentral:rRNA from 1 species
UACGGAGGAGGCAAGCGUUAUCCGGAAUUAUUGGGCGUAAAGCGUCCGCAGGUGGCACUUCAAGUCUGUCGUCAAAGACUGGGGCUUAACCCUGGAAAGGCGGUGGAAACUGAAGCGCUAGAGUGCGGUAGGGGUAGAGGGAAUUCCCGGUGUAACGGUGAAAUGCGUAGAGAUCGGGAAGAACAUCGGUGGCGAAAGCGCUCUACUGGACCGCAACUGACACUCAGGGACGAAAGCUAGGGGAGCGAAUGGG